rnacentral:lncRNA from 1 species
CAUGCCCUAAACCCAUAUGAUCUUGGCCUGCUUCCUUUGUCCCAGCAGAGCCUGGGGGUGAUUCUGCAAUAGCUAGAUUCGAUGCAAUUGAAUGCACAGUGAAGUUCGCCAAUAGGAUCAUUACAUAAACCAUCAAAGUAGGUGUUUGAGAGAACACGCGCUGGAACAUCCACAGCAAUGAAGCGUGCAUAUCCUUUUUAACCUGCUUAAGAACACCCUCCCUAGUCUGCAACGCAAAGCUGUGCAUCUCCUCGAUCAUGAAGACCAUAGAAGAGAAGGCUUUGUCGAUAGAACAAUAAGUAGACUCUCUAGCUUCUCUAAGCGCCUCUUCUUGUAGCUUCCUCUUAAUCAUUCUAAGGGAGAGAGGCAAAUCAACACUGUUUGCUUUCCGCUCAAUGCUCGAGUGGCUAACCAUCUCCAUCCAGGGAGCUUCCAAAGAAGCUAAACCUGGAACGGACUCAUGUAGUAGUAGCUUCACAUUGCCGAAUCUGUGGUUCCUACGAUCUUUGUUUGUCACCAGGUCUUCUUCUUCGCCUGCAAUCUUGAAUUGUAGGGCUAAUUCUUGCAUCUUCGCCGAGAAUUCUUCGUCGGAGAAGAAACCGGAGCUCGCGCUGCAAACUCUCCGGAGAGGAUAAAGCUUCUUCUUCGUGGAGAAUUCCAAAAGCUCACAAGAUUUGGAUCGGUGGAGUUUCCCACCGAAAAAAGCGGAAGCUUUCAAUCUCGUUUGGCAUGAUAAAGAUCCUCCUCCUCCUAGGACAGAUACAUCUCCGCCUCUUCCCCGAGAACGACGACGUUUUGAAGAGGUUAAGUUUUGCGAGAGAGACGGACGGUGAGGGAUCGCCGCAUGGCGUCCUGACCAAUGAAAAGAGGCUACUUUUACAUCCAUUCUUCCAAUAGAAGAAGACGAAACUCGCAGAAUCUGAGAGAUUGAAAUCAAAAGACGGACAGAAAGGCUCCUGAAUCCGUUCAAAGUUUUAACCUUUCCGGAAAAUUUGGUCAGUCGAAUUCAGAGGGUUAAGCUCCUGAAAUUUUGUUGGGAACAAAGGAAGAAGACAACAAGCCCCUCAAGUUUAUAUACGAACAAGAAGAAUAAUCGGAAAACACAAUUUAGUCAAUUCUUUAAAAACGAAAAAAAAAAAGUUAGUUACCGGAUUUAGCCGGUGGCAAUUUUAUGGAUGGCUCGUGCUAUUUGGGGAAGAGAUCAGAUUUUAGUUAAUCCACGGGUAGAAACGGUAACAGGUGAUUGACCUAAGAAAGUUCGGCUAACUCUGUAACGCGGUUUACUCGGGAGCACGUGCUUUUACUGAGGUCCAAGCGGCCUUCAUCCCGGAUUUUUCUAUUUAUGAUCGGACGGAUCUUAGUGAACCAUGUGUGUUUUUGUUACAACUAGCUUUUAGUAGGCACGUAGGGAGAUUGUUCACGUGCCAUAAAUAAGGUUUGUUGAGAUACUUGUCUUUGCGAGAAUAAGAUCAAUGUAUGUCAGACAGAGAUAUGAAGAGUACUUACUACUAAUUUGGUGGUUUGGAGUACUGUGAAUUUAUAUGAUAAACUAAUAAUACCCACCACAUUGUUUUCACGGCAUUAUUAGUUUUUUCCUUUCAGUGUAUUCGGUAAAAAUGGAAGUAGCACACAAAAAAUAACAUUGUAGUACAGAUUAUGUCAUUGUGAUAAAUGUCUUUUGUAUCAAAAAUGGAAAAUAUUUGAGAAACGGUUUGAAUACAUUUAUAUAUAGAGAGAUUUACAUCCCAAUUUUUUUCCUUUUACCAAAUACAUGCACUAUUGUCAUUUUAGACACACGAUGCAUAGAUCCAUAAUGUAUCUUCAUAUUGAAAGAAGGAGAAAUUGGCUAAUAAGGCCGUAUUCAGACUAGAUUUGUCCGUUUAUACAUUGGGUAUUUGUAAAAUAACCAAAAGAAAAAAAAUAUAGGGAAAACUGUUUUUUUAUAGCAAAAAAAUAGUAACUAUGUCCCUUUAAACUAAUCUAUAUUUUGUGUCAUAUUUUCCUAUAAUACCCUUUAAUAUUUAUGAAAAUAAUUUUAAUAAAUAGUUUUACAAACAAAAAAAAAUUGGAAAAAUAGUAACAUUUGUUAAAAUACAUAUAUGAACUUAAUGGUAUAUUUUCCAGUUAUAAAAAAGUUAAAAUUAUAAAUUUCAGAUUAUGUUCUAAAAAAAGUAGAAAUGACAUUCUACGAAGUAGAAAACGAAAUCUACUUUUUUCAUUGAAUCUACAAUGUUUAGAAUACGUGAUCUACGUAAAUAACCCUUGUCCUAAAACUGAGUCUCCUUGUGUAGAUAAGUGGAACAUCUUGUCAACAGUGCCAUUCACUACAUGCCCUAAACCCAUAUGAUCUUGGCCUGCUUCCUUUGUCCCAGCAGAGCCUGGGGGUGAUUCUGCAAUAGCUAGAUUCGAUGCAAUUGAAUGCACAGUGAAGUUCGCCAAUAGGAUCAUUACAUAAACCAUCAAAGUAGGUGUUUGAGAGAACACGCGCUGGAACAUCCACAGCAAUGAAGCGUGCAUAUCCUUUUUAACCUGCUUAAGAACACCCUCCCUAGUCUGCAACGCAAAGCUGUGCAUCUCCUCGAUCAUGAAGACCAUAGAAGAGAAGGCUUUGUCGAUA